AGCAAAUCAAUCACUUUCUUCAAACUCCUUUGUUCAUACAUUACAACGUGAAGCUGCGAUUGGUCCCCCCACACUUCGAUUUCUGCUGAAAUCUUCAUUUUUCUUGCUUCUCUUCUACAUUACGUCGUAAAAGGUACCAUGGGACCAAGGUGUGCGAUUCCGGAAGAACAAGACCACAUUGAUGUUCCAAGUAUACAUCCGUUAUAUCGAUUCCCUCAAAAUGUUUCGCAAACAAUGCUCAAUAAUUAUGCGAACAAGCUGGGAUGGUUGUACAAUCGGGAGUUUGCAUUGGCACCGUUGGUCGAUUGGUCAUGGCUACGUGGGGUUGGUAUGGUAACGGAAGUGAAACGAUAUUGGACAAAGUUAUUUUUAGGAGAAGGUUUCACUUUCCAAUGCAACGUUUGGCACGAUUUAUUUUCUAUUCAAGAGCCCGUUUAUCGGGAAUUAUCCAUUGAAAAAGUGUAGUGAAAAAUCUUUGUUAAUUUACAUGCGACUUGAAAAACUUUGAUAUGAAAAA